CACAUAUCCAGCUCUCUCUCUCUCUUCUUUCUUUUUAUUUCUUUCUUCCUCUUUCUCUCUCUAGGCUAGUGGAGGUUUGGUUCAAGAAGUGGACAGCUUGCGUUUUGGGCUUGGUGGAGCUGCCGAAUUGGAAACGCUGCUAUGAAAGCUUCGAAACCUGAGCGGCUGCCUUGAUGAGUUUUGGGCACUCGAAUUGGAGAAGGGAACUUGAUGGAGCUUUUUGGUGAGCCGAAUUGAGAAGGACCUGAGAGGAAAGCUUCAUAGGAGGGGCUGUGAAGCAAACAUAAACGGAAUUUCAGCAUAAAUACCCUGCUGUUGGAGCUGAAAGAAAGCUUGUUGAAGCUGCAAAUUGAGGUUUGUAGCGGCUGCACAAAGAGGAAGUAAAGUGCAGAAUUUCCGCAAAGUGUAGAAAUUUCAACAUAGUGCAGAUUUUGAGGUUGAGUGGAAAAAGAAGCUUUAAAGUAAAAUUCCUCGCUGAUUGGAGCUGAAGGUAACUAGAUGGAUUGGGUGUUAACUAAUUUAGAAGAGUUUUAAACUAUAGAAUGGAGUGUUCGAUGAUGUAAUGGCUGUCAAAAGAGAAGUAAUAGAGUAGAUUCCUGCAGAUUUCAGCAUUGAUUCCUGCUGGUUAUUAAAGCUGAAAAUGAGUUAAUUGAAUAGCAAAUUAAGAUAAUUAUGGUUAUGUAUGGAUUGAAAUUCAAUUAAUAUAACAGGGAGAUGCUAAUUGGAAGUCCUGUGGGAGUUGGAGCUAGUGGAAAUCACAAAACUGCAUUGUGAAUUCCAUAAGCUAACUCUAAGUAUAUAGAUGUGUGAGUAUAUGCAUAUAUAUAUAUAUAUAUAUAUAUAUACUUAUGAUUAAGUGUUGGAAGAUAAAAUCUAAG